rnacentral:rRNA from 1 species
CAGUCGAACGGCAGCACGGGUACACCCUGGUGGCGAGUGGCAAACGGGUGAGUAAUACAUCUGAACGUGUCCUGUACUGGGGGAUAGCCCGGCCAACGCCGGAUUAAUACCGCAUACGCUCUACGGAGGAAAGGGGGGGAUCUUAAGACCUCCCGCUCCAGGGGCGGCCUAUGGCCAAUUAGCUAUUUGGUGGGGUAAAGGCCUACCAUCGCCACGAUCUCUAUCUGGUCUUAGACGACGACCAUCCCCACUGGGACUGAAACACAGCCCAGACUCCUACUGAAGGCAGCAGUGGGGAAUUUUGAACUAUGGGGGCGACCCUGAUCCAGCAAUGCCGCUUGUGUGAGGAAGGCCUUCGAGUUGUAAAGCACUUUUGUCUGGAAAGAA